rnacentral:rRNA from 1 species
CAGUAGCCGCGGUAAUACGUAGGUGGCAAGCGUUGUCCGGAAUUAUUGGGCGUAAAGGGCUCGCAGGCGGUUUCUUAAGUCUGAUGUGAAAGCCCCCGGCUCAACCGGGGAGGGUCAUUGGAAACUGGGAAACUUGAGUGCAGAAGAGGAGAGUGGAAUUCCACGUGUAGCGGUGAAAUGCGUAGAGAUGUGGAGGAACACCAGUGGCGAAGGCGACUCUCUGGUCUGUAACUGACGCCGAGGAGCGAAAGCGUGGGGAGCGAACAGGAUUAGAUACCCCCGUAGUCCCUGUCUCUUAUAC